AAUUGGCAGACGCGCCAGCUUGAGGUGCUGGUCCCAGCAAUGGGGUGGAGGUUCGAGUCCUCUCUCGGGCA
rnacentral:tRNA from 1 species